UAGGGAAUCUUCCGCAAUGGGCGAAAGCCUGACGGAGCAACGCCGCGUGAGUGAUGAAGGUCUUCGGAUCGUAAAACUCUGUUAUUAGGGAAGAAUAAAUGUGUAAGUAACUAUGCACGUCUUGACGGUACCUAAUCAGAAAGCCACGGCUAACUACGUGCCAGCAGCCGCGGUAAUACGUAGGUGGCAAGCGUUAUCCGGAAUUAUUGGGCGUAAAGCGCGCGUAGGCGGUUUUUUAAGUCUGAUGUGAAAGCCCACGGCUCAACCGUGGAGGGUCAUUGGAAACUGGAAAACUUGAGUGCAGAAGAGGAAAGUGGAAUUCCAUGUGUAACGGUGAAAUGCGCAGAGAUAUGGAGGAACACCAGUGGCGAAGGCGACUUUCUGGUCUGUAACUGACGCUGAUGUGCGAAAGCGUGGGGAUCAAACAGG
rnacentral:rRNA from 1 species